UCCUUAUGUACAUAUUCUUUAUCCCCUUACACUGUGUAUAAGACAGUAGUUUUUUUGGAAUUGUUAGUUAGAUUACUUGCUCGUUAUUACUGCAUUGUCGGAACUAGAAGCACAAGCAUUUCGCUACACUCGCAUUAACAUCUGCUAACCAUGUGUAUGUGACAAAUAAAAUUUGAUUUGAUUUGAGCGAGAACACAGGGCAGAGUCAGACAUGUAACUGAGGCAUGAAGGCAGAAACACGGCAGAGUCAGACAUGCAAUUGAGGCAUGAAGGCAGAAAUACGGCAGAGUCAGACAUGUAAUUAAGGCAUGAAGGCAGAAACACAGGGCAGAAUCAGACAUGUAACUGAGGCAUGAAGGCAGAAACACAGGGCAGAGUCAGACAUGUAACUGAGGCAUGAAGGCAGAAACACAGGGCAGAGUCAGACAUGUAACUGAGGCAUGAAGUCAGAAACACAGGGCAGAGUCUGACAUGCAACAGGCCGAAAUGUAAUACGUCUUAAUAUUAUUCUAUCAUAAAGAAGCAACACCAUUCAUUUGUCUUUAGUUAUAUUGUUGCACAGAAAAACAAGAACAUAUGAUAUUAAAGUGAUGCAUAGAAAAUCUAUUUCACUAAAGCAUUAAGCAUCAGCUGUUUUUUCAGGCAUGAUUUCAAAAUACAGGAAAAAUAAAUACUGUCCUCAAAAUGAAAACCAAGUGGUUAUUAAUACAAUCUAACAUAAAAAACACAAUAGAAGUUUGUUAUCAUGUCAUCUACAAUUUUCUCUAUACUGAAAAUCAGUUAUACCGUACAUUCAAAAACAUGAAUACUUUUUGUAAAUUCUGUUCAAAAAUACAAAAUCUGUGAUUAUUGAUGUAGUCUAGAACAGUAGAAGAACAGUUUUCAUUGUCACAGAAAGACUUAAGAGACAACACUAAUAUACACAUACCGUAUGUGUCGUCUUAAUGCCCCCAUAACAGGAAACUCUAUUUACUCAGCUGCCUGUAAAUGCAUUCAGCUAUGAAGAAACACAACAAAACAACGACUCAUUUUGGCUCAAAGACCCGAGAAGCUCUGGAUCUAGGGCAAGAUGGCAGUGACGGGAGAGGAAAAAGUGUUGACAUAACUGGUUCUAGAAUAUUUACAAGACAUUGUCUUCAAACAUUCAGAAAUCGACGCAGUAGUAAAAUCAUGACGUCAUCACCAUGGCACCAUAGUGUAGUGGCUGACGCACAGACUUCUGUGUCGUGAUUUCGCGAUGGGUUGGCAUGGCAGGGAUCGGAGUAGAAUAUGGACAAACUGUAUGGGAAUACAUAGUCCACCCCUGCAAUAUGGGUGAACACUAGCAUGUUGAUAUCUGGCAUUGUCCUACAUCAGAUAGUGUGUCGAUUCCACCUGCGGUUGAGGGACGAGCGACGUAGGAGUGACGCCACCUGACGUAAGUCAAUGGAUAUCUGGAGCGAGUCAAAAGAACAUAGGCUCAUUGAAUUAGGAAUGUUGAACUGUACUGCACUUAAACAGAGUUGGCACGUCUACAAUAAGUAUUGCCAGUAACACUAGUGGAUUGUGCUAUUGGCUGUGCGAUUCUGGGGCCUGAGCAGAGCUGUGUAAUUGGGUCAGGGAGGAGGAGGAGAAAGGUGUGAUGUAAAUAAUUGUUGUAAGCAAACGUCGGCUCCGGUGGCUGCCAGGUCAGUCCCAGAAGAGGUCGUUAGAGAAACAUACAUGUGUAAGCUGAUCUGUGAGCUGUGAGAAAUCCCGGCCCGGCACUCUGUUCUGCUGUUAUGGCUGACACUACUUUAGCAUUACAGAGCAGGCCAUGCAGCAGGCCGUGUAGCAGGCAAUGUAGACCCAACAUUCACCUAGAGAGCCACAGGGCUACAGGAAACAGGCCUGCCCUGAAUAGACACUAUUUACACACAUCUAGACGUGGCACAGGAGCUGGGCUAUAACACAGCCACUUACUUGACACAGUCAUACCUCACAUGGUAAUUAAUGGUAGAGUGGUAGCACUCUAAUGGUAGAGUGCUGGCUAACGCUUUAGCUAUUCCAGGCUCCGUGCUUUGUUUGUCUCUAGGUCUCUAUGACCACUUAGAGGGUGUAGAGUAUUACAGGGUUUCUCUGGUCUCUAUGACCACUGAGGAGGUGUAGAGUAUUACAGGGUUUCUCUGGUCUCUAUGACCACUGAGGGGGUGUAGAGUAUUACAGGGUUUCUCUGGUCUGAGUGUACUCUGAGUGUGCCUAAUACACUGACCACUGAGUGUGCCUAAUACACUGACCACUGAGUGUACCUAAUACACUGACCACUGUGUGUACCUAAUACACUGACCACUGUGUGUACCUAAUACACUGACCACUGUGUGUACCUAAUACACUGACCACUGUGUGUACCUAAUACACUGACCACUGUGUGUACCUAAUACACUGACCACUGUGUGUACCUAAUACACUGACCACUGUGUGUACCUAAUACACUGACCAGUGUGUACCUAAUAAACUGACCACUGUGUGUACCUAAUAAACUGACCACUGAGUGCACAUCCUCUACACUUACAAAUCAUUCAAAAUGACUUAACUGGCUGCAUCGUCCACAGAAACAGUUAAUUCAUUAUGACAGCUGGUGCUGGUUCGGAACCCACAAGGAAAUCUCCAGUCCAAUUCUUAGAUUUUGUCAGCAGUUUGUGAGUGCAUUGUUUAAUUUGUUCAGAUUCUAGAACACAUUGCUCAUUCAGGCAAGUCAAUGGGUUCAUUGGAAAGCUGAGUGGAGCUGAAGGGUAGGACUAAAAAUAACAAGAUAAACUAAAGUAAAAUGUAUUUACAGUAGGUUCAGAAGUUUGGUGAAACAGCACAGUUGGCAAGUAUAUGGCAAAUAGAAAUACAAUCUGGGUGGUCUUCAGAGAUAAAUGGGAGGGGUUGAGAAUAGCUUAAGGAUGGGACUAAAAACAAACAAAAGAUUACUAUUGUAAAAUACAUUACAUCCGUAAAAUGUAUAAAAAUAACCUCACAAUCAACGUCAACAAAACAAAGGAGAUGAUCGUGGACUUCAGGAAACAGCAGAGGGAGCACCCCCCUAUCCACAUCGACGGGACAGUAGUGGAGAGGGUAGUAAAGUUAAGACAGAUAGACAGACAGGCAGGCAGCGCCUCUUCAACCUCAGGAGGCUGAAGAAAUUUGACUUGUCACCAAAAGCACUCACAAACUUUUACAGAUGCACAAUCGAGAGCAUCCUGUCGAGCUGUAUCACCGCCUGGUACGGCAACUGCUCCGCCCACAACCGUAAGGCUCUCCAGAGGGUAGUGAGGUCUGCACAACGCAUCGCCGGGGGCAAAUUACCUGCCCUCCAGGACACCUACACCCCCCGAUGUCACAGGAAGGCCAAAAAGAUCAUCAAGGACAACAACCACCCGAGCCACUGCCUGUGCACCCCGCUAUCAUCCAGAAGGUGAGGUCAGUACAGGUGCAUCAAAGCUGGGACAGAGAGACUGAAAAACAGGUUCUAUCUCAAGUCCAUCAGACUGUUAAACAGUCACCACUAACAUAACAGUGCUGCCAACAUACUGACUCAACUCCAGCCACUUUAAUAAUGGAAAAUUAAUGUAAUAAAUGUAUCACUAGCCACUUUAAACAAUGUCACUUAAUAUAAUGUUUACAUACCCUACAUUACUCAUUUCAUAUGCAUAUACUGUACUCUAUACCAUCUACUGCACUUUGCCAUCUUUAUGUAAUACAUGUAUCACUAGCCACUUUAAACAAUGCCACUUUUAUGUUUACAUACCCUACAUUACUCAUCUCAUAUGUGUAUAUACUGUACUCGAUACCAUCUACUGCAUCUUGCCUAUGCCGUUCUGUACCAUCACUCAUCCAUAUAUCUUUAUGUACAUAUUCUUUAUCCCUUUACACUUGUGUGUAUAAGGUAGUUGUUGUGAAAUUGUUAGGUUUCUCCAUUACUCGUUGGUUAUUACUGCAUUGUCGGAACUAGAAGCACAAGCAUUUCGCUACACUCGCAUUAACAUCUGCUAACCAUGUGUAUGUGACAAAUACAAUUUGAUUUGAUUUAGUAUGUACAAGCUGGAAGUAGAAGCCUAAGAGUUGCUGUUCACUAGUUACUCCAAUUAGGGGAGGGAUGGUAGACUCCAGUGUGAUGAGAGAGAAUUCUGCAACCUAUAGGUUUAAUGUAUAGUUAUUAAUGGACAAGUCAGAAAUGUCAACAAUGCUCAUCAUUGUACACACACACACACACACACACACACACACACACACACACACACACACACACACACACACACACACACACACACACACACACAAACAACUAUUUUCUUGAAACAAAAGACAAGAGAAUAAAAAGAUGAUAGCUUUGCCAAUAAACAUGUUUCUCCAUAGAAGAGCGUGUCCUAGAGGGAAACCGUAGUUAUAAAGCCCCCAGCAGUGUGGUCCAUAUCACCCACUGUUGUUCUGAGCCUCUGCUAAGACCUCCAGAGGACUAGUCUGUUCAUUUAUGAACUAUGACAUACAAUGAGCGCCAAACAUAUUGGGACAGUGACACAUUUUCGGGUUGUUUUGGCUCUGUACUCCAGCGCUUUGAAUUUGAAAUGAUACAAUGACUAUGAGAUUAACGUGCAGGUUGUCAGCUUUCAAUUGAGGGUAUUUUCAUCCAUAUCGGAUGAACCGUUUAGAAAUUAUUAAAGUAGUAAAAAGUUAAGCAUUUGGUCCCAACAAGCUUGUGACUCUACCAAUUGGUUAGAUACAUUUUCUGUUAGUUUUGGUUGUGUUUCAGAUAAUUUUGUGCCCAAUAGAAAUGAAUGGUAAAUAAUGUAUUGUGUCAUUUUGGAGUCACUUUUAUUGUAAAUAAGAAUAUAAUAUGUUUCUAAACACAUCUACAUUAAUGUGGAUGUUACCAUGAUUACGGAUAAUCCUGAAUGAAUCGUGAAUAAUGAUGAGUGAGCAAGUCACAGAUGCACAAAUAUCAUACCCCCGCCAAAAAAUGCUAAUCUCCCCUGUAAUUGUAAUGGUGAAAGGUUAGCAUACCUCUUGGAGGUAUGAUAUUGGUGCGUCUAACUUUCUCAAUACUUUUGUAGCUCACUAUAUUACCCCACUGGGUCCUUUUUAAAUGAUGGUAUAUUAAUACAUUAUACUGCUAAAUGACGGUAUAUUAAUACAUUAUACUGCUAAAUGACGGUAUAUUAAUACAUUAUACUGCUAAAUGACGGUUUAUUAAUAAAUUAUACUGCUAAAUGACG
ensembl:lncRNA